UGGAGGUAGAGGGAGAGGGCAUGGCUUUAGGUGGAGGUAGAGGGAGAGGGCAUGGCUUUAGGUGGAGGUAGAGGGGGAGGUGGCUAUAGGUGGAGGAGAAGAUUGAUCAUCCCCAGCUUGCCGUCGUUUAUAGUCGGGCACGCUAGAAUAAACGGUGUAGCUCCAACACCGUCAAGCAUUGAUUAUCUCCACAGUUCAGAGGAGUUGGGUGUGGAUCCACUUACUGCGGACCGUCUGUACCUGAAGGACCGACCAACUGGGCCCAGCGUCGACCGUGACGGGCGUGGCCGCCGCCCUUCGAACGGUCUGCAAACCUCCACCGAUGGAAACGAUACCGCGACACUCAUUUCCACGCAGGCUGAAGAAGACAUGCUGAGCUCAGACACACCCCGAGCCAACGCCGGGCCCCGGUAGAGCUUCUCCAGCGCCGCGACACCGUGCCCUUCAAAACAAGGCCCAGGAAGAGGUGUCUGAUUCAGAGCGCGUCAGGCCUUUGGGUGGAGGAACCACCGUCGAACCCCAC
ensembl:lncRNA